CUAGUAACGGCCGCCAGUGUGCUGGAAUUCGGCUUAGAGUUUGAUCCUGGCUCAGAUUGAACGCUGGCGGCAGGCCUAACACAUGCAAGUCGAGCGGCAGCACGGGUACUUGUACCUGGUGGCGAGCGGCGGACGGGUGAGUAAUGCCUAGGAAUCUGCCCAAUGAUGGGGAAUAACCAGUCGAAAGAUUGGCUAAUACCGCAUACGCCCUUCAGGGGAAAGCGGGGGUCGCAAGACCUCGCGUCGAUGGAUGAGCCUAGGUCGGAUUAAAGCCGAAUUCUGCAGAUAUCCAUCACACUG
rnacentral:rRNA from 1 species